rnacentral:ribozyme from 11 species
UGAAGGAAAGAGAGACACACAGAAAGAGAUGUGAAUGAAGGGGACGAAGAGGUAAACGGAACACAGGCAUAGAUACAAAAGCCUUUUCCCGCUCCUUUUCUCUCUGUUCUUUGUUUUUCCUUCUUUGUCUAACACAAUGAAUGAAAGAAAGCACCAUCCAAAAUUUGAAUGAAUGCCUGAAUUGCAUUGCACUUCAUG